rnacentral:rRNA from 1 species
GACGAACGCUGGCGGCGUGCUUAACACAUGCAAGUCGAACGGAAAGGCCCUGCUUUUGUGGGGUGCUCGAGUGGCGAACGGGGGAGUAACACGUGAGUAACCUGCCCUUGACAUUGGGAGAACUUCAGGAAACUGGGGCGAAUACCGGAUAGGAGCACCUGCAGCAUGGGGGGGGUGGGAAAGAGUCGCCGGUGCGGUAUGGACUGGCGGCUUAGCGGCUUGUUGGUGGGGUAGUGGCUUACCACGGCUUUGACGGGUAGCCGGCCUGAGAGGGUGACCGGCCACAUUGGCACUGGGAUGCGGCCCAGAGUCCUACGUGGGGCAGCGGUGGGGAAUAUUGCACGCUGGGCGGCAGCCUGAUGCAGCAACGCCGCGUGGGGGAUGACGGCCUUCGGGUUGUAACCCGCCUUCGCGUGUGACGAUGCGUGAGUGACGGUAAUGGCUAAAGAAGCACCGGCUAACUACGUG